rnacentral:snoRNA from 1 species
CACCUCUCAGGGUCGCACCUGGAGAGUUUCCAGUACUCUACUGGUCUCGAAUAUGGGAGGGAGAGGCGAGCAGAGGCCUAUCCAUUCCAUCCCUAGCUCGGGCAGUGGCUAACGAGUGGAAGGCAACCUGCUACAAGU